rnacentral:misc_RNA from 1 species
UAGCUGUCAAAAGCCCCCCCGCUCCAAAAAUCGUUGCAAUAAACAGAAUCAACAUAUCAACACUAAGUACCGCUUGCAGUAUAGUAUAGUCUUCACCCCUCUCUGGUGGCUUAAACACAUCUUGAAAGAACGAAACAUGUUCUUUCUGAUCGUUAAUCGGAACAACAACUGCUGAACACUGAAGUGGUCUCUCAAUCUCAUCAACUUUAAUCUCUACACUCAAAUUUCGCUUCUUA